AUCGGGACCACGGAAUCCAUUGCCCCUCACUGGAGUGUGGUCUCCAUGGCAACAAAGAUAGCAGGAAGCUGGCCUAUAUUCUUAUCAGGGAGCCUUGGAGAGGAGAUUUUCUUUACAAGAGCGCCCUCUACACACCAAAUGGAGGAUAGACCUCAGACAUUUCUGGAUGCUGAGAGGACCCUUCAAAUGGCUUGCUUGCCUGUACGGAUCUAAGUGUACCGUAUGUCUGCAGUGCUCAUGGAUGCCAGAAGACAGAGUCAGAUAUCCGGAAACUAGAGCUCUGCAUGGACCAAGAACAGCCAAACAUAGGCUGCAUCUCCUGGGCAUUUCACAGUUCUUUACAAGCAGAGUUCAGAUGAAGGAUUUGCACUCAAGAGGAAACUAGGGGCUGUAAACGACAGCAUUGGCUCCAGCCAUCUGGCUUACUCGAUCUCCUCUACUAUCCAACAUCCUUGGGCCUUGAGUUUAUAAAAUGUCACCAAUCACCACCAUUAGGACAAGCUACUCCGUGAGAAAACUCCAUGUGCGAUGACUGGGUGUCACUAGUGCCAGGCCGGAACCAGGGAGCCAACACCGUUCGUAACUAGUGACUACAGAACCAUCUUGGGAGGUUCCCUUUGUCCAUGGCCCUUGGAGAGGUGCCUGACUUUUAGCUCAGAAACAUCUUUAGUCAUCAAAGAGUCUGACAAAGAACAGCAUAGACCGAACCGGGCUGGCGUCCUCUCAUGGCCUCUGAAAGACGUUGGCAGCCGAAACUGGGCCACCGUUUAGUCAUCCCCUCAGACCAGACGGCAUGGUUGUGAGCCGGCUCUGGGUGGUCUUCAUCCUGGGUCCGAGCUGAACAGAGCCUGGGGGAUAAUCAACAGCCUCACAUGACCUAAGACCUCGGCAUCUCGAGGUGGAUGGGAGACACUCU
rnacentral:lncRNA from 1 species